UACGUAGGGUGCAAGCGUUGUCCGGAAUUAUUGGGCGUAAAGAGCUCGUAGGUGGUUUGUCGCGUUGUCCGUGAAAACUCACAACUCAAUUGUGGGCGUGCGGGCGAUACGGGCAGACUGGAGUACUGCAGGGGAGACUGGAAUUCCUGGUGUAGCAGUGAAAUGCGUAGAUAUCAAGUGGAACACCAGUGGCGAAGGCGAAUCCCUGGAAAAUACCUGACACUGAGGCACGAAAGCUAGGGGAGCAAACAGG
rnacentral:rRNA from 1 species